rnacentral:tRNA from 1 species
ACAAGUGUAGUGUAGUGGUUUGAGUGUUGGACUAUGACUCUGGAGACCAGGGUUCGAAUCUCCAUUUGGC